rnacentral:lncRNA from 1 species
UAGGACUCAUCAGCGAUGCCAGGAGUUAAAUGUUGGAAAGCCAAGUAGAUCUAACAAACUGUGGAAACAGGAGGGAAGGUUGGUUCGGAUCGACUACUAAAGAGAAUGGGUUUAUGUAGAAAGGACAGUCGUUAGAAGCCGCCGGACAGUUGGAUGACGCUCUGGCACAGUACAAACGUGGAUUGGAGGAAAAUCCUUCCAACCAUUUGUCCCAGUUUCGAUGUGGUAUGGUUUGUAUUAACCUGGGUGACUCCAAAAGUGCAUUGAAGUUUCUGAGCAAGGCUUUUGAGUUACAUCCGGUCUUCAGUGAAGUGAGUAAAUUCAAAGAACACCGGCUUCAUUGUCUAAAAUGAGGGCAGAGUAACGUUGACUUCAGUUUGAGUCGGAUACACAAUUGUUUACAAAUGUUCAAAUUGUUGUUGUUGGUAUGGAUAAGUCAUAUUAUUAUACUAUUUCAUGGCUAUUGUUUUUCCUUUGUUAAAAGCUGUGUUGUCUUUGAAAUAGUAAGACCUGUUAUAAUGCCAAUUUCUUUACAGGCAUUAGUGGAAAGAGGAAGUUUAUAUCUGAAGCUUGGAGAUUUGCUGUCAGCGAGAGAUGACUUCAACUUGGUUCUUCAGAGGGAACCGUACAACAGAGAAGUGAAACUAAGAGUCCAGGAAAUCGACGGCCUAAAACAGAAUAUACCGUUUGCUAAACUGCUAUUCAAACAGAAAGACUAUGUCGGUUGUAGAGAGGCACUGGAGCAAAUACUAACGUUUUGUCCCUGGGAUGUUAUUAUGAGAGAGAUUCGAGCAGAGUGUUAUUUAUAUGAAGGCAAGCAUGGAAAGGCUAUCGCCGACAUCCAGGCCACCCUUCGACAUCGACGUCUGAAGACACCAGCCUACUUCAAGCUGAGUUUGAUUUAUCGCUGCUACGAAUACAAGAAUGUUUAAAACUAGACCCUGACCACAAGGAGUGUUAUGUUCACUACAAAAAGACGAAGACGUUGUUAAGACUAAUGCAGUCUGCUGCUCAAUUCAAAAACGACAUGCGCAACGCAAAGUGUGUUAGCAAGGCACAACAGAUACUUCAAACAGAAUCCACUGUUAAGUACUACGUCUCCAAGGCCAACUCCUUCCUGUGCCACUGUCAUCUACUGACGGACCUGAUGACCGCCUUGGCAGCUUGUGACUUUGUCCUUGCGAUAAAUUCCGAUAACAUUCAAGUCAGAAUCGACAGAGCAGACAUAGCCAUGGAAAUUAUAAAUGAAAAACUUAACCAAGCGGUGACUGAUUACUUGUAUAUCAAGUCGAGAACCGAAGCUAAUACACAUGUGAUUGGCGGAUUGAAAAAGGCGAAACAACUUUUGAAAAUAUCAGAGAGAAAAAAGACUAUUAUAGAAUUUUGGGCCUAAAUAGAUCUGCAAGUUACGAAGAUGUAUUAAAAGUUUAUAAAAUCUCGCCAAGGUAUGGCACCCGGAUAAAUUCAAAGGAGACGAUAAACUAAAAGCAGAGAAAAUGUUUUUGGAUAUAACGGCAGCAAAAGAGGUUUUAACAGAUCAAAACAAACGGGCGGCACACGACAGAGGAGAUGACCCACUGGCUUCUCGGUACCAUUAGAUACCUUGUUAUCUAGCAUUUAAAGUUGGAAUAAUAUUUGAUUUGUUUUGUAAUAUUCAUCGUAAAUAAAUAUAAAUUAAAAAAUAAA